rnacentral:rRNA from 1 species
GGUUCGAUCCUGGCUCAGAUUGAACGCUGGCGGGAUGCUUUACACAUGCAAGUCGAACGGCAGCACGGACUUCGGUCUGUGGCGAGUGGCGAACGGGUGAGUAAUGUAUCGGAACGUGCCUAGUAGCGGGGGAUAACUACGCGAAAGCGUAGCUACUGGCCGCAUACGCCCUUCGGGGGGAGCGGUGGGGACCUCUGGGCCUCGCACUAUUAGAGCGGCUGAUAUCGGAUUAGCUGAAGUUGGUGGGGUAACGGCUCACCAAGGCGACGAUCCGUAGCUGGUUUGAGAGGACGACCAGCCACACUGGGACUGAGACACGGCCCAGAUCUUCUACGGGAGGCAGCAGUGGGGAAUUUUGACAAUGGGGAAACCCUGAUCCAGCCAUCCUGCGUGUGCGAUGAAGGCCUUCUGGGUUGUAGCACUUUUGGCAGGAAGAAAACGGUACGAUGAUUACUUCCGCAAAGUAACUGACGGUACCUGCAGAAUAAGCACCGGCUAACUACGUGCCAGCAGCCGCGGUAAUACGUAGGGUGCAAGCGUUAAUCGGAAUUACUGGGCGGGAAGCGUGCGCAGGCGGUUCGGAAAGAAAGAUGUGAAUCCAGAGCUUAACUUUGGAACUGCAUUUUUAACUAUUACUCGAGCUAGGAGUGUGUCAGAGGGAGGUGGAAUUCGCGUAGCAGUGAAAUGCGUAGAUAUGCGGAGGAACACCGAUGGCGAAGGCAGCCUCCUGGGAUAACACUGACGCUCAUGCACGAAAGCGUGGGGAGCAACAGAUUAGAUACCCUGGUGUACACGCCCUAAACGAUGUCAACUAGUUGCUGGGGCCUUCUCGGGCUCGGUAGCGCAGCUAACGUGAAGUUGACCGCCUGGGGAGUACGGUCGCAAGAUUAAAACUCAAAGGAAGGAUUUGGACCCGCACAAGCGGUGGAUGAUGUGGAUUAAUUCGAUGCAACACGAAAACCUUACCUACCCUUGACAUGUCUGGAAUCCCGAAGAGAUUUGGGAGUGCUCGCAAGAGAACCGGAACACAGGUGCUGCAUGGCUGUCGUCAGCUCGUGUCGUGAGAUGUUGGGGUUGGUCCCGGCAACGAGCGCAACCCUUGUCAUUAGUUGCUACGAAAGGGCACUCUAUCGAGACUGCCGGUGACAAACCGGAGGAAGGUGGGGAUGACGUCAAGUCCUCAUGGCCCUUAUGGGUAGGGCUUCACACGUCAUACAUCGGUCGGGACAGAGGGUCGCCAAUCCGCGAGGGGGAGCCAAUCCCAGAAACCCGAUCGUAGUCCGAUCGCAGUCUGCAACUCGACUGCGUGAAGUCGGAAUCGCUAGUAAUCGCGGAUCAGGUAUGUCGGUGAAUACGUUCCGGUCUUGUACACACUGCCCGUCACACCAUGGGAGUGGGUUUUACCAGAAGUAGUUAGCCUAACCGUAAGGAGGGCGAUUACCACGGUAGGAUUCAUGACUGGGGUGAAGUCGUAACAAGGUAG